GAUGAACGCUGGCGGCGUGCUUAACACAUGCAAGUCGAACGGUGAAGCCCAGCUUGCUGGGUGGAUCAGUGGCGAACGGGUGAGUAACACGUGAGCAACCUGCCCCGGACUCUGGGAUAAGCGCUGGAAACGGCGUCUAAUACUGGAUAUGAGCUGCGAAGGCAUCUUCAGCAGUUGGAAAGAUUUUUUGGUCUGGGAUGGGCUCGCGGCCUAUCAGCUUGUUGGUGAGGUAACGGCUCACCAAGGCGUCGACGGGUAGCCGGCCUGAGAGGGUGACCGGCCACACUGGGACUGAGACACGGCCCAGACUCCUACGGGAGGCAGCAGUGGGGAAUAUUGCACAAUGGGCGCAAGCCUGAUGCAGCGACGCCGCGUGAGGGAUGACGGCCUUCGGGUUGUAAACCUCUUUCAGCAGGGAAGAAGCGCAAGUGACGGUACCUGCAGAAGAAGCACCGGCUAACUACGUGCCAGCCGCCGCGGUAAAAC
rnacentral:rRNA from 1 species